GACGAACGCUGGCGGCGUGCCUAACACAUGCAAGUCGAACGGAAAGGCCCUGCUUUUGUGGGGUGCUCGAGUGGCGAACGGGUGAGUAACACGUGAGUAACCUGUCCUUGACUUUGGGAUAACUUCAGGAAACUGGGGCUAAUACCGGAUAGGAUCUCCUGCUGCAUGGUGGGGGUUGGAAAGUUUCGGCGGUUGGGGAUGGACUCGCGGCUUAUCAGCUGGUUGGUGGGGUAGUGGCUUACCAAGGCUUUGACGGGUAGCCGGCCUGAGAGGGUGACCGGCCACAUUGGGACUGAGAUACGGCCCAGACUCCUACCGGAGGCAGUAGUGGAGAAUAUUGCACAACGGGCGGAAGCCUGAUGCAGCGACGCCGCGUGCGGGAUGACGGCCUUCGGGUUGUAAACAGCUUUCGACUGUGCCGAAGCGUGAGUGACGGUAAUGGGUAAAGAAGCCCCGGCUAACUACGUG
rnacentral:rRNA from 1 species